CCUUGCUGCUUCCUCAUGGGAGAUAAACUCAUGCUCAUGUAAGAAGAACAUCUGUCUUGGGCUAGGAGGAGCACAGGAAGAUGCCUUUAUCUCAAGAGCUAGGAAAUAAGGCAACUGUAUUAAAUUGUCAAGGGAGGACAGCAGACCAACAAGGAUGAAGAAGCUUGAAAAAUUCUUCAUUGCAGGGUCCACUCAUUGUCUCUAAUGAUUUGCUGCUCCUCAAAAGAAUGUCUACACUCCCGAUCGCCCCUUUUGCCAUGAGAAAAGUUGAUUUUCACUGAACCUUCAGAGGGUGAAGAGGAAGCUUUUCCUUGACUUCUACACAGGCUGGAAAUAAAUAACCUCCGCUUAGGACACCCCUGGCAGGGGCUUUCCAAACCACUUCCAACCCUGGAGAGAAAGAUAAUGAUGUGCCCAAACAAAUCAAUGGUCCCUACUUGCACCUAUCAAACUGGCCAUGCCCAUGCCCAUUCUGGGCCCAUAUGGAAGCUCUCUUUGCACCUUUUGGUUGACCUCUGAGGAGCAGCUUGGAUACCUUCUUCCCCUUAACACUGUAGAGGCUCUCUGCAACAGAACUCCCUACAUCUCACAGCACCAGCCUCCGUUCUCCUACCAAGUGUGAUUUGUGUGUCUAGCCUUCUCUAGGACUUCUGCCAGAUUGGCCUCUCUUCAGGUACAGCUAGGAGAGCCACAUUCAAAACCAAGAAGAGAAAGGAGUCAUAGAGCCACAGCCAGAAUGUUUAGGAUCCAAGGUGGCUGCCAGGACUCCAGAUGUCACAUCCCUUUCCCAAGCAGCAGGAUGGAGAGAGAAAGAGAGAAGGUCGUCCAGUCUCUCUUUGAAAAGACUUCCUGGAAGAAUUGCACAUCUGCAGAUGUUCCGUGGAGCAUCAUCACCAAAAAUGCACACGAAACUGCCACUAGAAGCAAAUGGAGGAAGCACACAGCAGGACUGGGUGUCUUUAAUUGCCAUUGCGAACGUGUGUCCAUCUGCACCACGUGAAUGAUUUGCGGCACAGCCGGGACCUGGCUCAGUUCUCUUGACACAUACAUCAACUCACAAGCACUGAAGUGGCAAGGCUGUUUGCAGAAGACAUUUAAGGCAAAAAUAGAUUGCAUCUUAAAAUCUCCUUACAGGACAUAGGUGGCACAUUGAAGAAAGCUUCAAUGCAACAAUAAUUUACAAUAACAUGGGCACAGUAAUGGAAAACAGCAAAGAACUGUGAGGAACUUUGCUGGCACUUUUUCCAGGGCCAGCAGCUGGAAAGAGGGGCCACAAAACAUCAGCAAGGAAACUGCUGUUCUAAAAGAAAGACACAAGAAGCUGUGCUUCCAGAAGAGAAAAGUAGUCACUGCCACCCCAGGAACCUGGCAUGGAGGGAUGCAGUGGUGUAAUACCACUCUCUCCUUGCACCACCCACAAGCCCAGCCCAUCCUGGGGACAGACGCAUGCUGAAAGUGGAGGUCGGGUCUGGAAGGGCAAAAGCAGAUGGCCCAGCAUAGCCCACCACUUUUCUUUGUCAACAUCAAGUAUUUCUGUGUCUGUACGAAAAACCAAGGUUCUGUCCCAGGGAAAUGACGGAGUCCCAUCAGCUACAGGAUCAUAACAAGGAGAUGUCAAUUCAGUCAUACUCGCCUGAAAG
rnacentral:lncRNA from 1 species